rnacentral:lncRNA from 10 species
UUCCUGAACAGCCUGAAGCAGAAGGUGGUGACCCUGGCAAGCAGCGCAGACGUGCUGAGCACCGUGCAGUCGGCCUCCCAGGCCAUGCUGCAGAGCGGCUGGUCCAUGCUGUUGCCCACCGCUGAGAAGCAGGCCCGGGCACUCUGCUCUCCUGUCCUGUGGAGUUUCAGGCAAUGAAGUGAACAUAAGUCCAGGUCAUCGAUUGGUGAUUGAUCUUCUGGUGGGCAGCUUGAUGGCUGAUGGAGGGUUGGAGUCAGCCUUACACGCAGCCAUUACUGCAGAGAUCCAGGAUACAAAAAAAGAAGCACGGAAGGAAAAAGAAAUUUAUGAACAGGAAGCAAAUGCCUCAACAUUUCAUAGAAGGAGGACUCCAUUGGAUAAAGACCUUAUUAAUACGGGGAUCUGUGAGUCUUCUGGCAAACAGUGUUUGCCUCUGGUUCAGCUCAUACAACAGCUUCUUAGGUAAAUCAUAUUAGCUGUAUUGUAUUGUGUUUUAUUUAUUUACUUUUUUUUUUUUGAGACAGAGUUUCGCUCUUGUUGCCCAGGCCGGAGUGCAGUGGUGCGAUCUUGACUCACUGCAACCUCCGCCUCCCAGGUUCAAGUAAUUCCUCUGCCUCAGCCUCUCGAGCAGCUGGGAUUACAGGCAUGCGCCACCAUGCCCCACUAAUUUUGUAGUUUUAUUAGAGACAGGGUUUCUUC